GAUGAACGCUGGCGGCGUGCCUAAUACAUGCAAGUCGAGCGAACGGACGAGAAGCUUGCUUCUCUGAUGUUAGCGGCGGACGGGUGAGUAACACGUGGAUAACCUACCUAUAAGACUGGGAUAACUUCGGGAAACCGUAGCUAAUACCGGAUAAUAUUUUGAACCGCAUGGUUCAAAAGUGAAAGACGGUCUUGCUGUCACUUAUAGAUGGAUCCGCGCUGCAUUAGCUAGUUGGUAAGGUAACGGCUUACCAAGGCAACGAUGCAUAGCCGACCUGAGAGGGUGAUCCGCCACACUGGAACUGAGACACGGUCCAGACUCCUACAGGAGGCAGCAGUCGGGAAUCUUCCGCAAUGGGCGAAAGCCUGACGGAGCAACGCCGCGUGAGUGAUGAAGGUCUUCGGAUCGUAAAACUCUGUUAUUAGGGAAGAACAUAUGUGUAAGAAACUGUGCACAUCUUGACGGUACCUAAUCAGAAAGCCACGGCUAACUACGCG
rnacentral:rRNA from 1 species